rnacentral:rRNA from 1 species
GCCGCGGUAAUACAGAGGGUGCAAGCGUUAAUCGGAAUUACUGGGCGUAAAGCGCGCGUAGGUGGUUCGUUAAGUUGGAUGUGAAAUCCCCGGGCUCAACCUGGGAACUGCAUUCAAAACUGUCGAGCUAGAGUAUGGUAGAGGGUGGUGGAAUUUCCUGUGUAGCGGUGAAAUGCGUAGAUAUAGGAAGGAACACCAGUGGCGAAGGCGACCACCUGGACU